rnacentral:rRNA from 1 species
UACGAAGGUGGCAAGCGUUGUUCGGAUUCACUGGGCGUACAGGGAGCGUAGGCGGUUGGGUAAGCCCUCCGUGAAAUCUCCGGGCCCAACCCGGAAAGUGCAGAGGGGACUGCUCGGCUAGAGGACGGGAGAGGAGCGCGGAAUUCCCGGUGUAGCGGUGAAAUGCGUAGAGAUCGGGAGGAAGGCCGGUGGCGAAGGCGGCGCUCUGGAACGUUUCUGACGCUGAGGCUCGAAAGCGUGGGGAGCAAACAGG